rnacentral:tRNA from 1 species
GGAGCUGUGCCCGAAUUUAAGGACCACUUUGAUAGAGUGGAAUAUGGGGGUUAAAACCCCCCCACCUCCU